CAGACCCUCCUGAUCUGAAAGCAGCUUGAAAUUUCAGAAGAAAGAGAAGAGGAAGAAGGUGGCAGAGCCCUGUGAGAGGGCAUUGGAGAACACAUUCUUGGUUUGCAGUUUGGUCACUGUGUAAACGUGAAUUGAGUAGAGCUUCAUGAGGUUGCACAGGAGCCUGAACUUCUGCUGGGAGCAUGGGAAAAGGCAAGAGGGGCCAAUGACCAAGAGAUGACCACUUCCAUAGGGGAAACUCUCUCUGACUGGGCACAAGAUAAAAGUCUGUGGAAGGAAAGAUGGAUCCAGCAAGAAGGUGUAAGCAAGAAUUCAAUCAAUGUGUGCUGAACAAAUAAUCCAGGUUUUUCAGCUCUCCAAUCAAAUUCAACAGAAAGUCAUUGACUACUUGCAGAUUGUAAGGCUUCCCUGGUGGCUCAGAUGAUAAAGAAUCUGCCUGCGAUACAGGAGACCCAGGUUAGAUCCCUGGAAGAUCCCCUGGGGAAGGAAAUUGCAACCAACUCCCGUGUUCUUGCCUGGAGAAUUUCAUGGACAGAGAAGCCUGGAGGGCUAUCGUCCAUGGGGUUGCAAAGAGUCAGACAUGACUGAGCGACUAACACUUUCACUUGCUUGAUUUCAGAGAACACGAGAGAGGAACAAAGAGAGGAUAAUGAUUUUUAAAGAACAAAUCUCAAUUUUCUGAAAUCCUGUAGCAAGACUUGCCUUUAUUGUGGUCGUAUCAAAUUCUGUUUCGUUAUUUCUGGCCUUCUUAUAUCACCCCC
ensembl:lncRNA